rnacentral:rRNA from 1 species
UACGUAGGGAGCAAGCGUUGUCCGGAAUCAUUGGGCGUAAAGCGCGCGUAGGUGGUCAUGUAAGUCCGCUGUGAAAGUCAAAGGCUCAACCUUUGAAAGCCGGUGGAUACUGCAUGACUAGAGUACGGAAGAGGCGAGUGGAAUUCCUGGUGUAGCGGUGGAAUGCGCAGAGUAUCAGGAGGAACACCGGUGGCGAAGGCGGUCUCUGGGCAUUACCUGACGCUGAGGAGCGAAAGCCGUGGGGAGCAAACAGG